rnacentral:rRNA from 1 species
UACGUAGGGGGGCUAGCGUUGUCCGGAAUCAUUGGGCGUAAAGCGCGUGUAGGCGGCCCGGUAAGUCCGCUGUGAAAGUCGGGGGGCUACAACCCUCGGAUGCCGGUGGAUACUGUCGGGCUUGAGUGCGGAAGAGGCGAGUGGAAUUCCUGGUGUAGCGGUGAAAUGCGCAGAUAUCAGGAGGAACACCAAUUGCGAAGGCAGCUCGCUGGGACGUUACUGACGCUGGAGACGCGAAAGCGUGGGGAGCAAACAGG